AACAAACGCUGGCGGCGUGCCUAAUACAUGCAAGUCGAACGGGGAAAGCUUUCGGGUGAGUACUAGUGGCGCACGGGUGAGUAACGCGUGGAUAAUCUGCCUUAGAGUGGGGGAUAACUAGUCGAAAGAUUAGCUAAUACCGCAUAAGACCACAAGAACUGCGGUUCAAGGGGUCAAAGGUUUUUCGCUCUAAGAUGAGUCCGUGUAAGAUUAGCUAGUUGGUAGGGUAACGGCCUACCAAGGCGACGAUCUUUAACUGGUCUGGGAGGAUGAUCAGGCACACUGGAACGGAGACACGGUCCAGACUCCUACGGGAGGCAGCAGUAGGGAAUAUUGCACAAUGGAGGAAACUCUGAUGCAGCGACGCCGCGUGAGUGAUGAAGGCCUUCGGGUCGUAAGGCUCUGCCGCAGGGGAGUAACACAAUGAAGGUACCCUGUAAGAAAGGAUCGGCUAACUUCGUGCCAGCCGCCGCGGUAAAAC
rnacentral:rRNA from 1 species